GGUUCUAUCAAGUACCGAGAGGGAUCAAAUUUCAUAAGGUGUAAUUUUUUUAUCAUUUAACUCCAUGUCAUCUACUAAAUCCUUCAUAUUAAAUGAUAAAAAAAAUUGCACCUUAGGAAAUUUGAUCCCUCUCGGUGCCUGAUAGCUCC
rnacentral:pre_miRNA from 1 species